AUUGAACGCUGGCGGCAUGCCUUACACAUGCAAGUCGAACGGCCGCACGGGUGCUUGCACCUGGUGGCGAGUGGCGAACGGGUGAGUAAUACAUCGGAACAUGUCCUGUAGUGGGGGAUAGCCCGGCGAAAGCCGGAUUAAUACCGCAUACGAUCUAUGGACGAAAGCGGGGGACCUUCGGGCCUCGCGCUAUAGGGUUGGCCGAUGGCUGAUUAGCUAGUUGGUGGGGUAAAGGCCAACCAAGGCGACGAUCAGUAGCUGGUCUGAGAGGACGACCAGCCACACUGGAACUGAGACACGGCCCAGACUCCUACGGGAGGCAGCAGUGGGGAAUUUUGGACAAUGGGCGAAAGCCUGAUCCAGCAAUGCCGCGUGUGUGAAGAAGGCCUUCGGGUUGUAAAGCACUGUUGUCCGGAAAGAAAUCCUUUGCCCUAAUACGGUCAGGGGAUGACGGUACCGGAAGAAUAAGCACCGGCUAACUACGUG
rnacentral:rRNA from 1 species